GACGAACGCUGGCGGCGUGCCUAAUACAUGCAAGUAGAACGCACAGUUUAUACCGUAGCUUGCUACACCAUAGACUGUGAGUUGCGAACGGGUGAGUAACGCGUAGGUAACCUGCCUGGUAGCGGGGGAUAACUAUUGGAAACGAUAGCUAAUACCGCAUAAUAUUAAUUAUUGCAUGAUAAUUAAUUGAAAGGUGCAAUUGCACCACUACCAGAUGGACCUGCGUUGUAUUAGCUAGUAGGUGAGGUAACGGCUCACCUAGGCGACGAUACAUAGCCGACCUGGGAGGGUGAUCGGCCACACUGGGACUGAGACACGGCCCAGACUCCUACGGGAGGCAGCAGGAGGGGAUCUUCGGAAAUGGACGGAAGUCUGACCGAGCAACGCCGCGGGAGGGAAGAAAGUUUUCGGAUCGUAAAGCUCUGUUGUAAGAGAAGAAAGGGUGUGAGAGUGGAAAGUUCACACUGUGACGUUAUCUGAACAGAAAGGGACGGCUAACUACGUG
rnacentral:rRNA from 1 species